CAUCUUGUUAAAUUAAGGUAGGGUAAAACAAGGAUUCUUUUAUGUCAAUUAAGCUGCCCAUAAUAAGGAUACAAUCUAUAUCAGACAAAACCAAAUGCAUCACAGAUUGAUCUCUCAAUUUUUACAACUAUGCUGUAGACUUAUAUUCGUAUAUCCUUAUAUAUUUUAUCAGGAUAUCCUCAGGAUUGUUUAACAUUUUCCUUCUAAAAAAAAGUAAAUACCUAUUUUUUUAUUGUAACAUAUGUGAGAAAUAGCAAAUAAAAUAAGUCUUUACAUAUUUCACAUCACCAGAUAAUCAGGAAAAAAGUCAAGAUUUUUGGUUGUUGCACUUGUAACUUCUAAGAAGAGGUUCUGAUCAAAUCAGUUGAUUUUUAUGAUACUAACUUUCUCGGGUUCCUCUGUAAGGCUGCAAUUCAUUCUUAGUUUGGGGGCUAUUUGAAAUAUACUAGCUGCUAUUUAUAACUAUCUGUUAUUUUGAUAAAUAGUUAGUUUGUAUAUCUGUACCAUACUGCUCAGUCACGCUAUUGUUAUCCUACAAAUGGAUGUUUUCCCUGUCUCCCACAAGAUGGCAGAAUCAUUCAUCUGUUUAAAGAAUGUAAAAAUAAAACUGCUUGUUGUAUGUGUGGGAGAUGAGAAGGAAUUAAUGCAUUUAGGUGUGCUGUAGGAGUCCUGAUGUUUUGACCACAGGCCUAAUCUGUGGGCAAAUAACCAGCAUUUCCUCUUGAUAUUUUAUGUUAGAAAUUUUUGUUCUUGAACAGACCAUUUCAAUGAUGCAAAUGUACAGUAUGUUCAGUAGAUAGGGAACAGCAAGAAUUGUAAUUUUAUUUGCUUUCAUUGUGCAACCGUGUAUAACAAAAGGGCUAGGUGUUCAUACAUUCACCUGAAAAGGAAGGAGUUGCUCCUCUUGAACAGAAUAUAAAAAUGUCUUUCUUCUGCAUUGUUUUUUAAAGGGAUCCCUCAUUUCAGAACCCAAUGCCCAUGAUGCUGGUCCUGCUGAAGCUUCAUCUAAAGGCAGCCCCUUCCAGACAGUAAACCAUGUCAUAACAAUACCUCGAAUAAUCCUCACACGCCCUUCGACUUCUGAUGAAGAUACUGACCAGUUACCCCCAGAUCCGGAGGACCUUGAGCCGGAGGAGCCCAGUGGCACAGGAAGCCAUGCCUAUUCGGACUGUCUGAACAGUGCUUUUUAUCCUCCCUAAUAAAAUACUUUUUUGGAAAGAGUUCAUGAUUUUUUUCCCCCCAAUUAUUCAAUGACAUUUAAUGUAGUACUUGAACCGCUAUGCCUUAUUUGUGG
rnacentral:lncRNA from 1 species